AUUUUUAAAGUUAUAAAGGGCUUUAUGCGGUUAACUAGAUUUAGCUAUUUUUCGGUUACAAUUUUAUAUAAUAUUAGUCAUAUCUUAGACGGGUGAUUUACACAACACUAGCUCCUGAUUAAACAGGAUUUUAUUAGACGCAAAGCAACAAAAUGUGCACUCAAUUUUAAAACUUUUUAUUGGUAAAGUAUAGGAUUAUUAGAAAUACCAUAUAAUUAAGCUAUACUAAGUUUGAUAAGAUGCAGUAUAAUCUCUAAUAAAGCUUGUGCACACAGUACCUUUAGCAUAAUGGCCUUUUGAGAGAAUUUGCCUGAUGGCUUUUCCCGAAAUAAAAAGAUUUUUAGAGAAGUAAGCCUCCGGGGUAUUCGAUGUAAGAAUUUCUGAGUUAACUUUUUUAAAGAUGUGAUACGCAAAAUCGAGUUUUAUGAUAGCUGGUUGUUCGAAAAAUGCUUUUAAGUGCAGCUUUAUAAAGGUAACUAAGGAUACGGUUAAAUUUAAAAUUAUUUAUUCGUUAGGACCAAAAGUGAGAAAUCUGGCUUAAGGUCAGAUUAUUGCCGGUUUCUUUGAUUCUUCAAUUUUUAAAAAGAGAUAUAGGGAUUAUGGUACCCCUUUCCAAAUAAUGAGAGGCGUCAGCAUUUUAAUAUGAGUGUUUAACAACUUAUCUUUUACCGUGUAUAAAAUAAUAAUUUAUUUACAAGAGCCAGAAAAAAUCGUUCAAUGAACUAAAGAUUGGAUUAUAGUUAAAUAUUAUGU
rnacentral:rRNA from 1 species